rnacentral:rRNA from 1 species
CAGAGGAUGCAAGCGUUAAUCGGGAAUUACUGGGCGUAAAGCGCGCGUAGGUGGUUUGUUAAGUUGGAUGUGAAAUCCCCGGGCUCAACCUGGGAACUGCAUUCAAAACUGACUGACUAGAGUAUGGUAGAGGGUGGUGGAAUUUCCUGUGUAGCGGUGAAAUGCGUAGAUAUAGGAAGGAACACCAGUGGCGAAGGCGACCACCUGGACUAAUACUGACACUGAGGUGCGAAAGCGUGGGGGAGCAAACAGGAUU